rnacentral:lncRNA from 13 species
UUUCAUACUCAGAGUAUGGAAACUGUUAUAUAUAACUUAUGUUUUAGACUUCAUUUUUUCACAGAGGCUGUCUUGGCAAGUAGACUCAGUAAAAGGUAUGUUAAAGAAUUGUUUUCAAGCACAAAACCAAAGGUAUAUGGUGUUGUAUCUACAAAACUGAUACGGUUUUCUUGUUGAAAACUUAACAAAACAUACUCAACAAAUAACAAAUAAAAGCUUCAUAAAUAUUUAUAUAGAUUCUUGGUGCAAUGUUACAAUUAUAGUGGCAAUAUUAGUAAAUACUUUUUCUAUUGUUUUCUACUGACUCUAUUAGAAACAAGACUACUAGAUAUACUAAAAAUAAUGCGUAAUGUGGUUUUGAUGAACUAGGUGUUUCUUCAAAAGAAAGCUGUAUUUGGUGUAUUUCCAAUUUAUGUUAAAUGCCAGCAGGCUGGCUAAGCAGGCUGAUUUGCUUUGUGUAAUGUGGAAAUUGAAAGGUUUGUCAUAACUUUGGAGUACGUCUGAUUUCAUUAGGGACUGGAACAUCCCUCCUGUGAGGAGAGGCUGAGAGAGCUGGGACUGUUCAGCCAUGAUAGGGUGGUUGGAACUCGAACAUCUUUAAGGUACCUUCCAGCUCAAGACUGUCUAUUAUUCUCUGGUUCUAUGGCUCUGUGAUGUGUAAGAGCUGGAACUACUGGAGGACACAGUCAACAUGCAAGGAUUUUUUGCUGCCCCUAUGUCACCAAUUAUGACAUAGUAGAACUUGGUACACGCUCAAGCCGAAACUGCUGCCUUCGGCUUAAGAAGAGGUCACCAGAAUGCUGGCAUGGAUAUGCAGCACUCUCUGAAGGGAUUCGCUUUGCUGUUACUACAUCAGGACACUUACAAUCAUGAGCAAUUGCCUACAUUCUCUGUUUGCCUUGUUGCCCGGAAUAAUAGUCAUUUGUGGCUUGAUUGCUUUGUUCUGCAUUGUGCUUUUCGACACCACACCUGCUCAUGGACAAACAAAGACUGUCAAGAAGUUCAGGGAACCAGGAAAGAUUAAAUAUGAUAUCCAUAAUGUAAUUGCCAACCCAAAUGCUCCCAAAGAAGACAUUGAAUUUGAUACAGAUGAUUUCCUAGUCAAGGUGGAGAAGGACAUCAGCCCUGAUUCCAAUGUGUGCUUGGAGAUCUUUCCAAAGGAGCAGUUUGUGCCUGGCAGGAAUGUAUGGCAAGUACAAGUGACAACUGACACCCAGGAAGACAGAAGUUCAGAUGAGCAAAGUUAUGUUUUGACUUUCAAGUACUUGCAGAACACUUUAUGGAUCUUCCUGAGGAUCAUUUCUGGCACUACCCAGAACACAGGCAAUGUGAGAUCCACCACCAUCAGUAAAAACAGAAAGUCCAAGUAGGCAGCAAAAGCCAAGCCAAGAAGGCAGCAAAAGUGAAGUUAAAAAGAGAGAACCAGCUUGUUUUCAGCUUGGCAACUUGCUCUUCUACAACAUUCAGUGAAAAGAAUCUUCUCCUUUGUCACCUAAGAACUGAGCUUGUGGGUGUGUUUCUCACUACUUCAUU